UUUAAUUGAAGAGUUUGAUCAUGGCUCAGAUUGAACGCUGGCGGCAGGCCUAACACAUGCAAGUCGAACGGUAACAGGAUUAGCUUGCUAAUCGCUGACGAGUGGCGGACGGGUGAGUAAUGCUUGGGAACUUGCCUUCAGGAGGGGGAUAACAGUUG
rnacentral:rRNA from 1 species